CGUGCAAUAAAUUUAUCGUGGUACGCUUUAGUUCGAGCCUUAUAAAUUCUAGCACUCUCAUACGCUCAUUGCGUAGCUCUUCAAGUUCAUUUAGUUGAAGUCUCCUAUUGGAACCUGCAUUUUUCAUAUCAAAGUUAAAUUGCCGUAUGGCCCAAAAUGCACGAUGUUCCAAUUCCACCAGCAGAUGACAAGCUUUUCC
rnacentral:lncRNA from 1 species